rnacentral:rRNA from 1 species
UACGAAGGGGGCUAGCGUUGCUCGGAAUCACUGGGCGUAAAGCGCACGUAGGCGGCUCUUUAAGUCAGGGGUGAAAUCCUGGAGCUCAACUCCAGAACUGCCUUUGAUACUGAGAAGCUUGAGUCCGGGAGAGGUGAGUGGAACUGCGAGUGUAGAGGUGAAAUUCGUAGAUAUUCGCAAGAACACCAGUGGCGAAGGCGGCUCACUGGCCCGUAACUGACGCUGAGGCACGAAAGCGUGGGGAGCAAACAGG